rnacentral:lncRNA from 14 species
GUACCAUGUCCACCGUGGUAGCUCAGUCGCUUCAUGUUUUUGGUCUUCGGUCUCACGUGACCAACAACAUCUUCUUCUUCGAUGAACAGAUCGUUAUAUUUCCUUCAGGAAAUCACUGUGUGAAGUACAAUCUAGAUCAGAAAUGGCAAAAAUUCAUUGCAGGCUCAGACAAGAGUCAGGGCAUGCUGGCCUUGUCCAUCAGCCCCAAUCGGCGAUACCUCGCCAUCUCCGAGACGGUGCAAGACAAACCCAUCAUCACCAUUUAUGAACUAUCGUCCAUCCCUUGCCGGAAGCGCAAAGUCCUGAAUAAUUUUGAAUUCCAAGUUCAAAAGUUCACCAGCAUGGCUUUUUCUCCAGACUCUAAAUACCUGCUGACACAGACGUCGCCUCCAGAGUCAAACCUCGUCUACUGGCUGUGGGAAAAGCAGAAAGUCAUGGCCGUUAUUAAAGCUGACAUUCAGAACAAUCCCAUCUACCAGGUUAGCAUCAAUCCCCAAGAUAAUACUCAAGUGUGUAUCACUGGAAAUGGGAUAUUUAAGAUUCUCCGUUUUGCUGAAGGAACCCUAAAGCAAACCAAUUUCCAGAGGGGAGAAUCCCCAAACUGCCUAGCCCACAGCUGGGUGUCCGAGGACAGGAUCAUCGUUGGCACCGACACCGGCAAACUCUUUCUCUUUGAAUCUGGAGAUCAGCGCUGGGAGACAAACAUAAUGGUCAAGGAGCCUACUAGCUCCCGGAGCCUGGACAUCAUCCACGAGUCAGAGAGCCUGGUCGAGUUUCCACCACCCAGCUCCCCAGCCUCCUCCAUUGAACAAAUGUCCACAACCACGUACACACAACAAGUGGUCCUGCCGCAGGUGUUCGCCAUUGCAGCCUAUUCAAAGGGAUUCGCCUGCUCCGCGGGGCCAGGAAGAGUGCUGCUGUUCGAGAAGGUGGAAGAGAAGGACUUUUACCGGGAAAGCAGGGAAAUCCGGAUCCCUGUGGACCCACAAAGCAAUGACCCAAGUCAGUCAGACAAACAGGAUGUCCUGUGCCUAUGCUUCAGCCCAUCAGAAGAAACCCUGGUUGCCAGCACCAGCAAGAACCAGCUGUACAGCAUCACCAUGUCCCUGACAGAGAUCAGCAAGGUGAGCCUCCUCCGAGGGCAUCAGCGCCCGCUUUCAGUCCAUGCUGGGAUGCCCAUCUGAGGGGCCGCUCACCACGUGGGUGGAAGCUCCCGCAGAGCUUGGUACAAUGCCAGUACGUGCACCCUAAUCACAUAAGCAAACGGAAAACCGAGCAUGAGGAAGCAGUCGUGGGGGUGGG